rnacentral:rRNA from 1 species
UACGGAGGGGGCUAGCGUUGUUCGGAUUUACUGGGCGUAAAGGGCGCGUAGGCGGCGGGUCAAGUCGAGUGUGAAAGCCCCGGGCUCAACCUGGGAAUUGCGCUCGAGACUGGUCUGCUUGAGUUCGGGAGAGGAGAGUGGAAUUCCCAGUGUAGAGGUGAAAUUCGUAGAUAUUGGGAAGAACACCGGUGGCGAAGGCGGCUCUCUGGACCGAGACUGACGCUGAGGCGCGAAAGCGUGGGGAGCAAACAGG